rnacentral:rRNA from 1 species
CCUACGGGAGGCAGCAGGAGCGAAAAUUGCCCAAUCCCGACACGGGGAGGCAGUGACGAGAAAUAACAACUCUUGGUUAUUCUAAGAAGUGUAAUGAGGAUAAUUUAAAACCCUUACCGAAAGCAAUUGGAGGGCAAGUCUGGUGCCAGCAGCCGCGGUAAUUCCAGCUCCAAUAGCGUAUAUUAAAGUUGUUGCAGUUAAAAAGCUCGUAGUUGAAGUUCUGGCUGCUUGACCCUCGAGCUCUGUAGCCGAGGGCUCAGCAGUCAUCCGCUUGCAAACAUAUGUUCGCCUUUAACCGGGCGACUAUGUGAGUAAGCAUUUUACCUUGAGAAAAACAGAGUGUUCCAGGCAGGUUUGUCCGGAAUGCAUUAGCAUGGAAUAAUAGAAUAUGACUGAAGUCGAUUUAUUGGUUUGAGGCUUUAGUAAUGAUUAAUAGGAACAGUCGGGGGCAUUGGUACUUGACAGUCAGAGGUGAAAUUCUAGGAUUUGUCAAAGACUAACAAAUGCGAAAGCAUUUGCCAAGGAUGUUUUCAUUAAUCAAGAACGAAAGUUAGGGGAUAGAAGAGAGANAGAGUACGUACGUAGUACGUUACUAUAAUUAUUAC